GACGGGGACCCGCACAAGCAGCGGAGCAUGUGGUUUAAUUCGAAGCAACGCGAAGAACCUUACCAGAUCUUGACAUCCAAUUGACCAUCUUUUAAUCGAGAUUUUGCCUUCGGGUACAAUUGAGACAGGUGGUGCAUGGUUGUCGUCAGCUCGUGCCGUGAGGUGUCGGGUUAAGUCCCAUAACGAGCGCAACCCCUAUCAUUAGUUGCCAUCAGGUCAAGCUGGGGACUCUAAUGAAACUGCCUACGCAAGUAGUGAGGAAGGUGGGGAUGACGUCAAAUCAGCACGGCCCUUACGUCCAGGGCUACACACGUGCUACAAUGGCCGGUACAAAGGGCAGCUACCUGGUGACAGGAUGCUAAUCUCAAAAGCCGGUCUCAGUUCGGAUCGGAGUCUGCAACCCGACUCCGUGAAGCUGGAAUCGCUAGUAAUCGUGGAUCAGCCAAGCCGCGGUGAAUACGUUCCCGGGCCUU
rnacentral:rRNA from 1 species